UGCAGAUAUUAACUCAACAUCUUUGCAGGAGGAAUUGGAGAAUCCAAGAAGAGCCACUGAUCCCAACUCCUGGGGGUAAUGUUAUUAAGCCAGAUGUCUUGGCGACGGAUCCGGAGGGAAACCUCUAUGUCAUAGACGCAGCGUGCCCGUACGAAGGGGGAGGCGACUCCCUUCUCGAGGGCCGCUGCCGAGCAAAGUGGAAAAAUACUCCGCCUACGAAACAUCUAUUCGGCGGUACAUAGGGAGGACCCCACGAAAGACCAUCUUCGUCGGAUUCGUGGUGGGGGCUCGUGGCGCCAUGCCACCUCAGACACAAGAGUUCUGCAAGCAGGUAGGUCUUGGUAAGGGCAAAUUACAUCUUAUGUCAGUACGGGCCAUAGAAGGAAGCCUCAAAAUCUUCCGAUUAUUUAUGGCCCUGUAGUGUUAAAACUCGGGUACGCACCCACGGAGUAUACGCAAGUGGUACUUCGGUAAUGCGAAAAGACAAGGUGUUAAGGAUCCUAACCCCAUGGUAAGGAACCUAUAUACCACGUCAUACAUAGCCAAAUGCCUCGUCAUCUAAUUAGUGACGCGCAUGAAUGGAUUAACGAGAUUCCCGCUGUCCCUAUCUACUAUCUAGCGAAACCACAGCCAAGGGAACGGGCUUGGCAGAAUUAGCGGGGAAAGAAG
rnacentral:ncRNA from 1 species